ACACAUGCAAGUCGAACGGAGUUAUGAUGUGAGCGGGAAGUGCUUGCACUAAACAAUCUUUUCAUAACUUAGUGGCGGACGGGUGAGUAACGCGUGGGUAACCUGCCCUGUACUGGGGGACAACAGUUGGAAACGACUGCUAAUACCGCAUAAGCGCACGGGAUCGCAUGAUCGUGUGUGAAAAACUCCGGUGGUACAGGAUGGACCCGCGUCUGAUUAGCUGGUUGGUGAGGUAACGGCCCACCAAGGCAACGAUCAGUAGCCGGCCUGAGAGGGUGAACGGCCACAUUGGGACUGAGACACGGCCCAAACUCCUACGGGAGGCAGCAGUGGGGAAUAUUGCACAAUGGGGGAAACCCUGAUGCAGCGACGCCGCGUGAGUGAAGAAGUAUUUCGGUAUGUAAAGCUCUAUCAGCAGGGAAGAAAAUGACGGUACCUGACUAAGAAGCCCCGGCUAACUACGUGCCAGCAGCCGCGGUAAUACGUAGGGGGCAAGCGUUAUCCGGAUUUACUGGGUGUAAAGGGAGCGUAGACGGCAUGGCAAGUCUGAAGUGAAAUGCGGGGGCUCAACCCCUGAACUGCUUUGGAAACUGUCAGGCUGGAGUGCAGGAGAGGUAAGUGGAAUUCCUAGUGUAGCGGUGAAAUGCGUAGAUAUUAGGAGGAACACCAGUGGCGAAGGCGGCUUACUGGACUGUAACUGACGUUGAGGCUCGAAAGCGUGGGGAGCAAACAGGAUUAGAUACCCUGGUAGUCCACGCCGUAAACGAUGAUUACUAGGUGUUGGGGAUUUAUAAAUCCCCGGUGCCGUCGCAAACGCAAUAAGUAAUCCACCUGGGGAGUACGUUCGCAAGAAUGAAACCC
rnacentral:rRNA from 1 species